UACGUAGGGUGCGAGCGUUAAUCGGAAUUACUGGGCGUAAAGUGUGCGCAGGCGGCCGCGCAAGUCGAGUGUGAAAUCCCCGAGCUUAACUUGGGAAUUGCGCUCGAAACUACGUGGCUGGAGUGUGGCAGAGGAAGGUGGAAUUCCACGUGUAGCGGUGAAAUGCGUAGAGAUGUGGAGGAACACGAUGGCGAAGGCAGCCUUCUGGGCCAACACUGACGCUCAUGCACGAAAGCGUGGGGAGCAAACAGGA
rnacentral:rRNA from 1 species